rnacentral:rRNA from 1 species
ACGGGUGAGUAACACGUAAGGAACCUGCCUCAAGGAUUGGGAUAACUCCGAGAAAUCGGAGCUAAUACCGGAUAGUUCAACGGACCGCAUGGUCCGCUGAUGAAAGGCGCUUCGGCGUCACCUUGAGAUGGCCUUGCGGUGCAUUAGCUAGUUGGUGGGGUAACGGCCCACCAAGGCGACGAUGCAUAGCCGACCUGAGAGGGUGAUCGGCCACACUGGGACUGAGACACGGCCCAGACUCCUACGGGAGGCAGCAGUAGGGAAUCUUCCACAAUGGACGAAAGUCUGAUGGAGCAACGCCGCGUGAGUGAUGAAGGUUUUCGGAUCGUAAAACUCUGUUGUAAGGGAAGAACACGUACGAGAGGAAAUGCUCGUACCUUGACGGUACCUUACGAGAAAGCCACGGCUAACUACGUGCCAGCAGCCGCGGUAAUACGUAGGUGGCAAGCGUUGUCCGGAAUUAUUGGGCGUAAAGCGCGCGCAGGCGGCCUUUUAAGUCUGAUGUGAAAGCCCCCGGCUCAACCGGGGAGGGCCAUUGGAAACUGGAAGGCUUGAGUACAGAAGAGAAG